GGAGAGAUGCCGGAGUGGUUGAACGGGGCGGUCUCGAAAACCGUUGAUCGGUUUUGCCGAUCCGAGGGUUCGAAUCCCUCUCUCUCCGCAA
rnacentral:tRNA from 1 species